rnacentral:lncRNA from 1 species
UGGCCUCGCCUCUCCUCCUCUCGCUCUCCUCGUCCUCCUCCCCCUUCCUCUCCUCCUCAUCCACUUCCUUCCUUCCACCUUCCUCCUCCGCUGCUCCGCUCCCGGCCAGCAGGAAGGCGGCGGUCUCCGUCCUCCGCGCUCUGCGGGCCGAGGCGGCCACCCUCCCCGUCCUCUCCUUCACCGGAGAUAAGGUCGGGGAGGUCACCCUCGACCUCAAGUCCGCGCCGCCCUCCACCGCGCGCGCCGUCGUGCACCGCGCCAUCAUCACCGACCGCCAGAACGCGCGCCGGGGCACGGCCUCCACGCUCACCCGCGGUGAGGUCAGAGGCGGAGGGAGGAAGCCCUACCAGCAGAAGAAGACGGGAAAGGCGCGGCGCGGGUCGCAGCGGACCCCGCUCCGCCCAGGAGGUG